GUAGGCAGGCAUAAGCCACCAGCACCUGGCUGCCUUUAUUGUGGUUUUUAAGAAAGAAUAUAGGCACAAUAUUUUUUAUGUUAAAGCAUUAUUAAAAUAUAAGGAGUUUUAGAAAGAUCCCCAAGAGUUUACUCUGCUGAUUAUAUCUAAGAUACUAAAUUCCCUGGGUAAGUAGGAAUUGACCCCUGGACCAGUGAAACAGCACUUGCCUUAGCAUGUACACAAGGUCCUGGACUUGAUCCUGAGCACUGGAAUAAAAACAAAACAAGGGACAUGAACAGAGCAUGUGAAGUCAGGCUCUCUAGCUGCAAGGAACCUUCCCUGC